CCUACGGGUGGCAGCAGUGAGGAAUAUUGGUCAAUGGUCGGGAGCCUGAACCAGCCAAGUCGCGUGAAGGAAGAAGGUACUUAGUAUUGUAAACUUCUUUUGUCGGGGAACAAAGGCUGAGACGCGUCUCCGGAUGAGUGUACCCGAAGAAAAAGCAUCGGCUAACUCCGUGCCAGCAGCCGCGGUAAUACGGAGGAUGCGAGCGUUAUCCGGAUUUAUUGGGUUUAAAGGGUGCGCAGGCGGGAGGUAAAGUCAGCGGUAAAAGGUCGGGGCUAAACCCCGGCCGGCCGUUGAAACUGGUUGUAGAGAGUUGGAGAGAAGUAUGCGGAAUGCGUGGUGUAGGGGGGAAAGGCAUAGAUA
rnacentral:rRNA from 1 species